rnacentral:snRNA from 1 species
GGUUCACCCAGGGCGAGGCUCAGCCAUUGCACCCCGGCUGUGCUGACCUUUGCGAAUUCCCCAAAUGUGGGAAUCUCGACUGCAUAAUUUCUGGUAGUGGGGGACUGCGUUCGCGCUCUCCCCUG